AUCUUCAGAAACGGAGAUGUUGACUUUUAAUGUGGACAGAACAUGAGUGCUCAGAAGCAGUCUUCACAAGUGCACCGCCUUGAGUUUGUUGUAACUGGGCUUUUCCUCUAGAUUUGGACCCUCUGCACACAGACAGUUUAGUAGCGGAGGCGCCUAUCCCAACAUCCCUCUGUCUUCUCCCUUACCUGGAGUACCCAAGCCUGUAUUUGCUACAGUCGAUGGACAGGAAAAAUUUGAAACCAAAGUUACCAGGCUGGAUAAUGGGCUUCAAGUGGCAUCUCAAAAUAAGUUUGGACAGUUUUGUACAGUAGGAAUUCUUAUUAAUUCAGGAUCAAGAUAUGAAGCGAAGUAUUUUAGCGGAAUUGCUCACUUUUUGGAAAAAUUGGCAUUUUCGUCUACUGCUCGAUUUGACAACAAAGAUGAAAUUCUGCUUACUUUGGAAAAGCACGGGGGUAUCUGUGACUGCCAGACCUCAAGAGAUACCACCAUGUAUGCUGUGUCUGCUGACAGUAAAGGCCUGGACACUGUGGUUGGCUUGCUGGCUGAGGUGACUCUGCACCCCCGCCUGACAGAUGAAGAAAUAGAGAUGACACGGAUGGCUGUCCAGUUUGAGCUGGAGGACUUGAACAUGCGACCUGACCCUGAACCGCUUCUCACUGAGAUGAUUCAUGAAGCUGCAUACAGGGGGAACACUGUGGGCCUCCACCGUUUCUGCCCUUCAGAAAACAUAGCCAAGAUUGACCGAGAAGUGCUCCAUUCUUACCUGAGGAACUACUACACCCCUGACCGCAUGGUUCUGGCUGGAGUGGGCGUCGAACAUGAGCAUUUGGUGGAAUGUGCUGAAAAGUACCUGCUUAGAGCCCAGCCAGCCUGGGGGAGUGCUGGGGCUGUGGAGGUGGACAGAUCUGUAGCGCAGUACACCGGGGGGAUUGUCAAGCUAGAGAGAGACAUGUCCAACGUCAGCCUUGGCCCAACCCCUAUCCCAGAGCUGACACACAUCAUGGUGGGGCUUGAGAGUUGCUCCUUCCUGGAGGAAGAUUUUAUCCCUUUCGCUGUGCUGAACAUGAUGAUGGGAGGAGGGGGCUCCUUCUCAGCUGGUGGGCCAGGCAAGGGCAUGUUCUCCAGGCUCUACCUCAACGUGCUCAACAGGCACCACUGGAUGUACAAUGCGACCUCCUACCAUCAUAGCUACGAAGACACUGGCCUCUUGUGCAUUCAUGCUAGUGCCGACCCAAGACAGGUUCGGGAAAUGGUAGAAAUUAUCACAAAGGAAUUUAUUUUGAUGGGCGGAGCUGUGGAUGCAGUGGAGCUGGAGCGGGCCAAGACACAGCUGAUGUCGAUGCUCAUGAUGAACCUGGAGUCCAGGCCUGUCAUCUUUGAGGACGUGGGGAGGCAGGUACUGGCCACUUGCUCCAGAAAGCUGCCCCAUGAGCUGUGCACGCUCAUCCGCAAUGUGAAGCCAGAAGAUGUCAGGAGGGUUGCGUCUAAGAUGCUGCGUGGGAAGCCUGCUGUGGCCGCCCUGGGGGAUCUGACCAACCUGCCUACUUACGAGCACAUCCAGGCAGCGUUGGCCAGCAGAGAUGGGCGACUGCCGCGAACUUACCGGCUCUUUCGGUAGAGACCUCCAGGAUCUUCAGGGACCCCAGCUGCAGGGAGGUGUCUCCAUUUACUGCACUCUGGACACCUGGAACCUUCGCCCUGGGAGUCCAGUGGAAGGGUCUGCUUGAUGCCUGCUGGUGGGAACGCAGUCAACUGGGACUGGAGCCUGGGGAUGUCCCAGUGUGCCUCAGUUCCUGCUAAACCAUGCAGAGAACAAGUGAGGAGAUGCCCGAGGCACCUGCCAAGCACAGCUCACCUGCACUGGAACGGUAGGGGUUGGUGUCUGGUACGUUCCUAGGCAGAGCCAGGGCUUGGAUGGUUCUGGUGUAGUCCAGCAGCCGCUCGGCCACCUUCCCAUCACCAGCUGUGAGGGUGGAAAUGGGUGGGGACAUGGGUUUCUAGACACACGUCCAAGGGACCUGCCUGGCCACCCCACCCUGUGAGGCUCUGGACAGCUCUGCCUCAGUGGCUGUCCUGAGCACAGCAGGUCCUAUCAAGGCAGAGUGACUGGGAACCAGGGCCUUGGCUGACAGCGACUCACAGGUGAAGUGGGACGUGAUGAAGAGGAAGGAGGUGCCGAAGAAGGUAAAGCUGACGCCCAGGGCCCCCUUGGUCUUGAUCUGGGACACAAUGCGUGUCGUCACCGUGGAGCACUCCACCUCUGUGAGGGGUGGGGUGGACAGCCUCAGUGAACCUGCGCGAAGGCCCCACGCCACCUGUGCCUGUGUGUCACGCAGCAGUCUCCAGGGCCAAGUCCCAGAGGACCAGUACAUCUGUCUGAGAGCAGCCCUGUGUGGAACCACCACUCUCUGAGUGCACCUGGGGCUGUGGGACAUGGUGCCUACCUGAGCAGAACCAGAUGAGGUCCCUGCGGAUGAACAAGGACACGUACAGAACCCCGUGGGCUGCCGAGGACAGGAGCACGUAGCGGGGGCCCAGUGUCUCCUGAAGGCGUGUCUCCCAUUCCCGCCUGUGGGAAAGAAGUAGGCGGCUGGGGUGGGGGGAGCACAGCUGGAAAGGCCCCCAAAGGACUCCUGGGGAUUCCCCAAGACUGAGCUCCAUCUUCUUGCACUGAGAAUGGUGGAUGGGCAAAAGGAAGGCCACCUCCUGGGGCUGAGGCCAAGUCCCAACAGUCUGCCUCUGUUCCAGAUCCCUGUGGGACCCGCACAAGCACUUCUGUCCCACCCUCUGCUUGGCUGGGCUCGCAGGGCAGGGGUCUCCCUUACAGUGCCUGGUGCCCACUCCCCACGGUAUGUGCCAAACAGGCCCCAGGAACUCACUGGGAUGCCCACAGGCUACAUCCUGUGUCAGGACGGCCAAUGAUGCCCUUUGGGUCAACAAAGAGCCUGCGGAGGGCCAAAGUGGCCUAAAAAAAAUCCAGCACUGUUCCUUGCUACCUUUACAGCCUUGUAAAUCAACUAUUGGUUUACAAAAAAAUGAAAACUGCCUAUCUCAAA